CAUCUUUGCUUCAAAGGGGAGCAUUAACAAAGUCGUGUAUAAGUUUAGUUUUUGGUGAUUGAUUUCUGUGAAGUUUUGGUAAAGAAUUAUUUACCAGGUUGUUAGGUUGAUUAGCUAAACUAACUGAGUAUUUAAAACCCCACUUCGGGGUUUUUAUUGCUUGCCUGGUUUAAUUGAUAAUAAAGUAUUGAACCCGCUCUGGAUUGUUUAUUACGACCCCCAAACCCCCUCUACAACAUUGGAGCCCGAUAAGUUUGCUGGAGAGAAGAUCCGUUAGAGUCAACCAGCUUAUGGAGGAAAAUUAUUGGUGGAAAUUCGUCUUCAGCGAUAGGAUCAAUCAACUUAAAACGUGAAUUAAGUGUGCGUGUGCGAACUUUUUAAUCUACAAGGAUAGCUAUCUGUGCAGAUGUUAAGGAUAAGCCUACGUAUGUUUUAAUUAAGUUUCUUUAUAUUUUUUAAUUAAGUUAUUUGAAUUAUUUAAGGUUGAUUAUCUCCCCUUAGUCUUCAAAUCAUUUGGAGGCAGACCACCAUUAAUUUCCCCAUUGACUUCAAUGUUAAUUCUGGCCUCUUUGCCCACCUCCAACUUUUCCCCAAAUUUUCGUUGGGCUGGAUGCUUUCCACUACAGACAGAGGAACAAAUGGUCAUGUCUUUGCACUAAAAUUUGUAUGAGGUUGACCACCAAAAUUUGGAGAUACACAAACUUGAAGAAGCAUACUAAAAACAUGUAACUAGUUGCCGUACAUAUCGCCGUAGCUAACCUGAUAACCCUCUUAUCCUUCCGCCUCAAAAUCAUGAAUAUUUACCAAAACCUGGCAGAAAAUGUUAAUUCAAACCCUCUUCAUCCAUUCUAGACCAAAAAAUCAACACAAAUGGGCAUGCAAAAGGGGAGAAAAGAGAGAGAGAGAGAAUUGCUAUAAAUAGACGAACUACAAUUCGUGGGUACCGAGAUGAUGAAAUUUAAUGGUGGUCUGCCUCCUAUAUGGUUUUAUAAGUUCAUAUAUCAUCAAAAUUCU